GCCUCUGUGGCUCAAUGGAUAGAGCAUCGGACUUCUAAUCCGGGGGUUGUGGGUUCGAGUCCCAUCAGAGGUAC
rnacentral:tRNA from 1 species